rnacentral:rRNA from 1 species
GACGAACGCUGGCGGCGUGCCUAAUACAUGCAAGUCGAGCGAAGUUUUUCUGGUGCUUGCACUAGAAAAACUUAGCGGCGAACGGGUGAGUAACACGUAAAGAACCUGCCUCAUAGACUGGGACAACUAUUGGAAACGAUAGCUAAUACCGGAUAACAGUAUUUCUCGCAUGAGAGAUAUUUAAAAGUUGGUUAUGCUAACACUAUGAGGUGGCUUUGCGGUGCAUUAGCUAGUUGGUGGGGUAAAGGCCCACCAAGGCGACGAUGCAUAGCCGACCUGAGAGGUUGAUCGGCCACACUGGGACUGAGACACGGCCCAGACUCCUACGGGAGGCAGCAGUAGGAAAUCUUCCGCAAUGGGCGAAAGCCUGACGGAGCAACGCCGCGUGAGUGAAGAAGGAUUUCGGUUCGUAAAGCUCUGUUGUUAGGAAGAAUGGAUAUGUAGUAACUAUACAUGUAAGAGACGGUACCUAACCAGAAAGCCACGGCUAACUACGUG